rnacentral:rRNA from 1 species
UACGUAGGGGGCAAGCGUUAUCCGGAAUUACUGGGUGUAAAGGGAGCGUAGACGGUAAUGCAAGUCUGGAGUGAAAGGCGGGGGCCCAACCCCCGGACUGCUCUGGAAACUGUGUAACUGGAGUGCAGGAGAGGCAGGCGGAAUUCCAUGUGUAGCGGUGAAAUGCGUAGAGAUAUGGAGGAACACCAGUGGCGAAGGCGGCUUCCUGGUCUGCAACUGACACUGAGGCGCGAAAGCGUGGGGAGCAAACAGG